rnacentral:rRNA from 1 species
GACGAACGCUGGCGGCGUGCUUAACACAUGCAAGUCGAACGGUGACGAAUGGAGCUUGCUCUGUUCUGAUCAGUGGCGAACGGGUGAGUAACACGUGAGUAACCUGCCCCUGACUCUGGAAUAACUUCGGGAAACCGAAGCUAAUACCGGAUAUGACACAGAGCCGGCAUGGUUUCUGUGUGGAAAGUUUUCGGUUGGGGAUGGACUCGCGGCCUAUCAGCUUGUUGGUGAGGUAAUGGCUCACCAAGGCGACGACGGGUAGCCGGCCUGAGAGGGCGACCGGCCACACUGGGACUGAGACACGGCCCAGACUCCUACGGGAGGCAGCAGUGGGGAAUAUUGCACAAUGGGCGAAAGCCUGAUGCAGCGACGCCGCGUGAGGGAUGAAGGCCUUCGGGUUGUAAACCUCUUUCAGUAGGGAAGAAGCGCAAGUGACGGUACCUACAGAAGAAGCACCGGCUAACUACGUG